rnacentral:rRNA from 1 species
AGAGUUUGAUCCUGGCUCAGAUUGAACGCUGGCGGCAGGCCUAACACAUGCAAGUCGAGCGGUAGCACAGAGAGCUUGCUCUCGGGUGACGAGCGGCGGACGGGUGAGUAAUGUCUGGGAAACUGCCUGAUGGAGGGGGAUAACUACUGGAAACGGUAGCUAAUACCGCAUAACGUCGCAAGACCAAAGUGGGGGACCUUCGGGCCUCAUGCCAUCAGAUGUGCCCAGAUGGGAUUAGCUAGUAGGUGGGGUAACGGCUCACCUAGGCGACGAUCCCUAGCUGGUCUGAGAGGAUGACCAGCCACACUGGAACUGAGACACGGUCCAGACUCCUACGGGAGGCAGCAGUGGGGAAUAUUGCACAAUGGGCGCAAGCCUGAUGCAGCCAUGCCGCGUGUGUGAAGAAGGCCUUCGGGUUGUAAAGCACUUUCAGCGGGGAGGAAGGCGGUGAGGUUAAUAACCUCACCGAUUGACGUUACCCGCAGAAGAAGCACCGGCUAACUCCGUGCCAGCAGCCGCGGUAAUACGGAGGGUGCAAGCGUUAAUCGGAAUUACUGGGCGUAAAGCGCACGCAGGCGGUCUGUCAAGUCGGAUGUGAAAUCCCCGGGCUCAACCUGGGAACUGCAUUCGAAACUGGCAGGCUAGAGUCUUGUAGAGGGGGGUAGAAUUCCAGGUGUAGCGGUGAAAUGCGUAGAGAUCUGGAGGAAUACCGGUGGCGAAGGCGGCCCCCUGGACAAAGACUGACGCUCAGGUGCGAAAGCGUGGGGAGCAAACAGGAUUAGAUACCCUGGUAGUCCACGCUGUAAACGAUGUCGAUUUGGAGGUUGUGCCCUUGAGGCGUGGCUUCCGGAGCUAACGCGUUAAAUCGACCGCCUGGGGAGUACGGCCGCAAGGUUAAAACUCAAAUGAAUUGACGGGGGCCCGCACAAGCGGUGGAGCAUGUGGUUUAAUUCGAUGCAACGCGAAGAACCUUACCUGGUCUUGACAUCCACAGAACUUAGCAGAGAUGCUUUGGUGCCUUCGGGAACUGUGAGACAGGUGCUGCAUGGCUGUCGUCAGCUCGUGUUGUGAAAUGUUGGGUUAAGUCCCGCAACGAGCGCAACCCUUAUCCUUUGUUGCCAGCGGUUAGGCCGGGAACUCAAAGGAGACUGCCAGUGAUAAACUGGAGGAAGGUGGGGAUGACGUCAAGUCAUCAUGGCCCUUACGACCAGGGCUACACACGUGCUACAAUGGCAUAUACAAAGAGAAGCGACCUCGCGAGAGCAAGCGGACCUCAUAAAGUAUGUCGUAGUCCGGAUUGGAGUCUGCAACUCGACUCCAUGAAGUCGGAAUCGCUAGUAAUCGUAGAUCAGAAUGCUACGGUGAAUACGUUCCCGGGCCUUGUACACACCGCCCGUCACACCAUGGGAGUGGGUUGCAA